rnacentral:rRNA from 1 species
UACGUAGGGACCGAGCGUUGUCCGGAAUCAUUGGGCGUAAAGAGCGUGUAGGCGGCUAUUUAAGUCCUGCGUGAAAUCCUGCGGCUCAACCGCAGACGGUCGUGGGAAACUGGAUGGCUAGAGUGCGGGAGAGGAGAGUGGAAUUCCUGGUGUAGCGGUGAAAUGCGCAGAUAUCAGGAGGAACACCGAUGGCGAAGGCAGGUCUCUGGGCCACUACUGACGCUGAGAAGCGAAAGCAUGGGGAGCGAACAGG